UACGUAGGGCGCAAGCGUUGUCCGGAAUUAUUGGGCGUAAAGAGCUCGUAGGCGGUUUGUCGCGUCUGCUGUGAAAAUCCAGGGCUUAACCCUGGACCUGCAGUGGGUACGGGCAGACUGGAGUGCGGUAGGGGAGAAUGGAAUUCCUGGUGUAGCGGUGAAAUGCGCAGAUAUCAGGAAGAACACCCGUGGCUAAGGCGGUUCUCUAGUACGGUACUGACGCUGAGACGCGAAAGCGUGGGGAGCGAACAGG
rnacentral:rRNA from 1 species